GAUGAACGCUGGCGGCGUGCCUAAUACAUGCAAGUCGAGCGAACGGACGAGAAGCUUGCUUCUCUGAUGUUAGCGGCGGACGGGUGAGUAACACGUGGAUAACCUACCUAUAAGACUGGGAUAACUUCGGGAAACCGGAGCUAAUACCGGAUAAUAUUUUGAACCGCAUGGUUCAAAAGUGAAAGACGGUCUUGCUGUCACUUAUAGAUGGAUCCGCGCUGCAUUAGCUAGUUGGUAAGGUAACGGCUUACCAAGGCAACGAUGCAUAGCCGACCUGAGAGGGUGAUCGGCCACACUGGAACUGAGACACGGUCCAGACUCCUACGGGAGGCAGCAGUAGGGAAUCUUCCGCAAUGGGCGAAAGCCUGACGGAGCAACGCCGCGUGAGUGAUGAAGGUCUUCGGAUCGUAAAACUCUGUUAUUAGGGAAGAACAUAUGUGUAAGUAACUGUGCACAUCUUGACGGUACCUAAUCAGAAAGCCACGGCUAACUACGUGCCAGCAGCCGCGGUAAUACGUAGGUGGCAAGCGUUAUCCGGAAUUAUUGGGCGUAAAGCGCGCGUAGGCGGUUUUUUAAGUCUGAUGUGAAAGCCCACGGCUCAACCGUGGAGGGUCAUUGGAAACUGGAAAACUUGAGUGCAGAAGAGGAAAGUGGAAUUCCAUGUGUAGCGGUGAAAUGCGCAGAGAUAUGGAGGAACACCAGUGGCGAAGGCGACUUUCUGGUCUGUAACUGACGCUGAUGUGCGAAAGCGUGGGGAUCAAACAGGAUUAGUUACCCUGGUAGUCCACGCCGUAAACGAUGAGUGCUAAGUGUUAGGGGGUUUCCGCCCCUUAGUGCUGCAGCUAACGCAUUAAGCACUCCGCCUGGGGAGUACGACCGCAAGGUUGAAACUCAAAGGAAUUGACGGGGACCCGCACAAGCGGUGGAGCAUGUGGUUUAAUUCGAAGCAACGCGAAGAACCUUACCAAAUCUUGACAUCCUUUGACAACUCUAGAGAUAGAGCCUUCCCCUUCGGGGGACAAAGUGACAGGUGGUGCAUGGUUGUCGUCAGCUCGUGUCGUGAGAUGUUGGGUUAAGUCCCGCAACGAGCGCAACCCUUAAGCUUAGUUGCCAUCAUUAAGUUGGGCACUCUAAGUUGACUGCCGGUGACAAACCGGAGGAAGGUGGGGAUGACGUCAAAUCAUCAUGCCCCUUAUGAUUUGGGCUACACACGUGCUACAAUGGACAAUACAAAGGGCAGCGAAACCGCGAGGUCAAGCAAAUCCCAUAAAGUUGUUCUCAGUUCGGAUUGUAGUCUGCAACUCGACUACAUGAAGCUGGAAUCGCUAGUAAUCGUAGAUCAGCAUGCUACGGUGAAUACGUUCCCGGGUCU
rnacentral:rRNA from 1 species